rnacentral:rRNA from 1 species
AGUGAACGCUGGCGGUAGGCCUAACACAUGCAAGUCGAACGGCAGCACAGUAAGAGCUUGCUCUUACGGGUGGCGAGUGGCGGACGGGUGAGGAAUACAUCGGAAUCUACUUUUUCGUGGGGGAUAACGUAGGGAAACUUACGCUAAUACCGCAUACGACCUACGGGUGAAAGCAGGGGAUCUUCGGACCUUGCGCGAUUGAAUGAGCCGAUGUCGGAUUAGCUAGUUGGCGGGGUAAAGGCCCACCAAGGCGACGAUCCGUAGCUGGUCUGAGAGGAGGAUCAGCCACACUGGAACUGAGACACGGUCCAGACUCAUACGGGAGGCAGCAGUGGGGAAUAUUGGACAAUGGGCGCAAGCCUGAUCCAGCCAUACCGCGUGGGUGAAGAAGGCCUUCGGGUUGUAAAGCCAUUUUGUGGGGAAAGAAAAGCAGCAGGUUAAUACCCCGCUGUUCUGACGGUACCCAAAGAAUAAGCACCGGCUAACUUCGU